GUCGCGGUGUCCGACCGUCAGAUGAAGCCACAUGGCAGCAGCUUGUCCUCCAUGCUGGGCACCACCUCCAUCCCACAGCCCCAGCAUCCCUGUCCCGUACCCUCCACGCACAGGACAACCUGGACCCGUGGACAUAUAUUUUGAGAUGUUCUCCUACAACAGACAUUCCUUUGUGUAACUGGCUUCUGGUACGGAGAGGUGUUGGCUUGUGUGUGCCCCUGGGAUGCCUCUGAGUAAUGCACGCAAGGUUUUGGCUGCUCUUAAGUCAGAAGGUUUACUCUUUGGCUCAGAAGCUAGAUUCACAUCUCCUCCUGGAGCCUGCUAAUGGAUCAUCAGUGGAUUCAAGUGUCCUUCCACCCUGGCGUCUGGUUUAUCCAGCCUGGAAACACACCCUGAAACCUUUUCCUUCCACUCUGUUGUUUUAGCAUCUGACACCCCAGGGCCACUCUCGCUGACCCCACAGGCUCUGCUGCAAAGGAUGGAUAUUUCUGUCACAGUUUGCUCUUCUCUGUCCUUCAGCAGAACACGUUGGUAGGGUGGCAAAGGGCAGACACUAUGGUGAUUUCCCCCCCCACCCAAGACCCCCAAUGUCUCACAAAUUAAGAGCUAGGGGGAAUAAAAAUAAUACCAUCUGGUGACACAGUGAGACUAAUCCUGGAGUUUGCCUCUCCCCAGGCAUGUGGACACAAAUUUACUUGCCUGACUGUUGGUGGCAUUAGCCAGUGAGUGCUGAUGAGAGGGAGGAUGGAUGAAGACUCAGAGAGAGAGACCACAGUGUGGGCAGUGGUGAGGAGGAGGAUGAUGGAGAAGAGAAUGUGUCCUCACACUGCGUAACUCUUUUGGGACAAAAGCCAGGUCUUCUGAGUGUCAGCGUCAUGUUCCUCCCCUUGGGUAAGAUAUCUAUUAGACCUGUUUUAGUGCUACCUACACAGAGCAACAGACUUUGUCUCUGACAGUAAUUACAGAGCUCAUUAAACACAGAAAACUGAACCCUGGUGCAGAAUAAGGAAAAAUAAGGCGAGUUAAAAGGUGGGCAGAGUCUGGCAUAGCCUCUUCCCAGUGGCAUUGCUUUGCUCCCGAGGAAGCUCCGUGCCAAGUUUCAGUUUUACACGGCAGAAAUGAAUCACAGCAAAUUGCUGACGGAGCCUCCGCCGCCGUCAAACACCAACUGGUUCGGUAUAAAGGGAAAGUGCUGCUGGUCCCCGCUCCCGCCGUCUGAGCACAAGGCUGCUAAUAAGUAAAUAAGGGAUAAUCCGAUCAAUUAAAUGCUCAGCUUGGAGGCUGGAGAGGAGGGCACAGCUCUGCCGGCCCUCAGAUGUGUCGUCUUCGGGCUGCAGGGAGGACAGCUGGAGCCCAUCCCUCCGCUCAGGCUUGGUGAACUGUUCUGCUGGUGGCUUCUGACUUGUUAUUCUGGGCUGGAUGAAAAACAGCUCCGUGACAGUGGAAAGGGCACAGCACAGGUUGAAGGAACAGUAUGUCCCCUCUGAUCACACCCUGGACGCUUGCUGGGGCAAAUACCGGCCCCGAGCCUCCGAGGGAACAUUUUUGCAGGUAUUUACCCUGCGAGCAGCCCAGAACUGGAUUAAGAUCAGGGCUGGGGAGACAGGAGGCACCUCAUCUCGUGGGCCUGGGGCCACUUCUGCACUCCAAGAACUUGUUCAGAGGGGCUCCGGACAGAGAAAAAGAGUCAGCUGGAAGAAAGCCAUUCCAAAGAAGAAAUGAAUGGUAAUAUCAUCAUCAUCACACAAAGAACCCAGGAGAAUCCUUCCAAGAGGUAAAGAUGAGAAAAACAAAAAAGAAGAAAAAUAAAAAAGGCGUCUUGAACUGUGCACCUGCAGGGCUGGCUGCCUGUGCGCAUAUGGAACGCGCCUUGCACACGUAUAUGGAACAUGCCUUGCACACGUAUAUGGAACACGCCUUGCACACAUGUGCAGAGCACUCCUCGCACACACGUGUGCACUCCCACAACACAGCUGGAGUGCUCACUCCCAGCUCUGCAAAAGUUUGCAGACUUAGAGGCCAGGCAGAGAUUUCUCUUGAAAGCUCCUCUCUAAAUGUUAUUCCUAUUUAGAAAGAAAAAAAUAAAUAGGCUGGACUUCAGCAUGUUCAGCACCCCAGAGCGAGAUGAUUUCCAGCUCUCCCUGGGCUGUGACGGGCGUCAGGGCACCAAUGUAACGUAUCAAAAUAGGGAGAAUAAGAAGUGAUUUGGAGCUUUUCUCUUAUUUUGGUUGUUGGCUCCGCCUCAGCACAACUGGCUCCAGCCAGGGCAUUCGGCUCCUUGAGUUUGACUUGGGGCUUGUGGGCUCAAUACUUUUAUAUUGAGGCCUCAAACCAUUGGGGAGGGGUUAGGCCAAACCCCUGUUUUUCCAUUAUUUUAAUAAAUGUGAUCACUUUUCGAAAGUUUAGUUUUCUAGCUUCCUCCAAAUGCAGAUAUCCUUUUCUCUCACCCCAGAAACCAAAAGACUGGAUUUGGACCCUGCGUUAUUUGGCAUUUACUCCUUCAGAUAUGUUGAACAUUACUUCAUGGCUGAAAUUGCAGAAAUAAACCCCCUAAUAAAAUAGAAACUAAUAACUUUUACCAUCUUUGUCUUUCUAUGGGAGUCAGGAACAGCUUAGUCUGUACAAUAAUUAUACUGUAUGCACAGCAAAAGAAGUUUUCGACUGCUGCCAUUCCCAGCCCUUCUCCACCAAAGGAAAUAAAAAAGUUGGCAAUAAAUUUAAACCAGUUUUAUUUACCUUGAACUACUCAGCCAAGAAUGCACAUUAUUUAGGGACUGGAAUAAAAAGCCAUUCACUCUGGUUCAAUUGGCCAUUUAGUUCAAUUUGUGUGUGUUACUGCAGGUAAUUACUAUGGUAAUAAUGUACUGUAAUCUGCACUGAUUUGGAACUUGUCCUGUUUCUAUAUUAAUAAUAAGUGCCAUAUAUGUACUAAUUACCAGUUUGUUACCAUGGUUAUUUGCGUAGAUGCCAUGUUAAUGAUACCCUGGAAACAUAA